rnacentral:lncRNA from 1 species
AUGAGUUGCUGGUUAAUUUAAAGGACGAUGCCAUGAAGCUCCCGAGUCAAGCGUGAAGUAAACCAUUCUGGAACUGCAGUUACAUUUUAUACAUGGAAAUUUCGGCGAUGAAAACAGUGAGGCUGAUUGUGGACUCUGCAUCAAAACUCAUUUCUGUCUCUUGUCCACAUAAGGCGUCAGGCCCGUGUAUUAAUGGUUUCGGACGAUUUAGUUCCGAGUUCGCGGGAUUAUGACCGCAAUCCUGCAGAGGAAGAGCGAGAGAAGUAAGACAGCAGAGAAUUUGAUCACGGAAUUCACGGACGAUAUUCAAUCACAGCAUUCAGAGCGAGAAGGAAAAUGGAAAAGAUGCGCCAUGCAGAGCGCGAACGUGUCCAAAAUAGCACAAUGGGCUCAUCUGCCGUCGGCCGUCGUCGGCGUCUCGGCUCCGUGACAUUGAUCAAGUAAAACGCGCGUGAUAUCGGCGGCGUAGGCGUUAGAGCG